GAAGCGAGCCCUGAGAUGAGUCAUCCCUGACCCCUUGAGGGUCCUAAAGGGCCGUUGGAGACCACAACGUUGAUAGGCGGGGUGUGUAAGUGCAGCGAUGCAUUGAGCUAACCCGUACUAAUUACCCGUGAGGCUUAACCAUACAACACCCAAGAAGUGUUCU
rnacentral:rRNA from 1 species